CGCGCACCAGUCGCGAAUCUUCCACAAUGGACGAAAGUACUGAUGGAGCGACGCCGCGUGCGGGAGUGAAGGCCUUAUGGGUUGUAAACCGCUGUCAGGGGGAAGAACAUCGGAAUGAACAAUACUCAUUCCGACUGACGUUACCCCCAGAGGAAGCUCCGGCCAACUCCGUGCCAGCAGCCGCGGUAAUACGGGGGGAGCAAGCGUUGUCCGGAAUUAUUGGGCGUAAAGGGCGUGUAGGCGGCGAGGUAAGUCGAAUGUGAAAAUCUCACGGCUCAACCGUGAAACUGCGUUCGAAAC
rnacentral:rRNA from 1 species